CCUUCAUCUGCCAGAAAGCAGAGGUGAGAGGUCCAGAGGGAGGCACACUGACGGCAUACUGUAAGUACACCUCAGGAUGGGAAUCCUACAAGAAGUGGUGGUGCCGCGGAAAGCACUGGAAUUCCUGUAGAAUCCUUGUAAAAACCACUGGGUCAGAGAGACUGAUGAAGAAAGGCCAAGCGUCCAUCCAGGAUGACCAUGGCAUACGCACAAUCAACAUGACCUUGGAGGAGCUGCGGCGGGAUGAUGCAGACACCUACCGGUGUGGGAUUGAGAAAACUGGCAAAGAUCUGGGGUACAAAUUUUCCGUGAUUAUCGACCCAGCACCAGAUCCAACAGACUUUCCCAAAACUGUGCCAAGACCCACAAUGGCAAGUCAUACCUUGCUUCCAUCUACCCAGGGCCUCACCAGCAGUCAGCCCGUGAUCAACCCCGGCAGCAGAGAGAGAGAGAGAGAGGCAGAGACACAGGCAGAGGGAGAAGCAGGCUCCAUGCAGGGAG